CAAUAGCGUAUAUUAAAGUUGUUGCAGUUAAAAAGCUCGUAGUUGGAUUUCUGGUAGGAGUGACCGUUCCGAACUUGAUUGUUCGUGUAUUGUGUUUUCUCCAGCCAUCCUUGUGGAGAACUUUUCUUGCAUUAAUUUGUAGGGAUUGGGACCCGCAUCGUUUACUGUGAAAAAAUUAGAGUGUUUAAAGCAAGCAAUCGCUUGAAUACAUUAGCAUGGAAUAAUAAGAUAGGACUUUGGUACUAUUUUGUUGGUUUGCAUACCAAAUUAAUGAUCAACAGGAACAGUUUGAGGAUAUUCGUAUGAACAUGUCAGAGGUGAAAUUCUUGGAUUUUGAUCAGACGAACUACUGCGAAAGCAUUUAUCAAGGAUGUUUUCAUUAA
rnacentral:rRNA from 1 species